rnacentral:rRNA from 1 species
GGCGGUAUGCCUAAUACAUGCAAGUCGAACGAUGAAAUUCUCUGCUNGCAGAGAAUGGAUUAGUGGCGAACGGGUGAGUAACACGUGGGUAACCUGCCCAUAAGAGGGGGAUAACAUUCGGAAACGGAUGCUAAUACCGCAUAUGUCUUUGAGACGCCUGUCUCUUAGAUGAAAGGUGGCUUCGGCUGCCGCUUAUGGAUGGACCCGCGGCGUAUUAGCUAGUUGGUAAGGUAAUGGCUUACCAAGGCUUUGAUACGUAGCCGACCUGAGAGGGUGAUCGGCCACACUGGGACUGAGACACGGCCCGGACUCCUACGGGAGGCAGCAG